rnacentral:rRNA from 1 species
AUUGAACGCUGGCGGCAGGCCUAACACAUGCAAGUCGAGCGAGCGGCGGACGGGUGAGUAAUGUCUGGGAACUGCCUGAUGGAGGGGGGUGAAUUCUGGGAAGGGUAGGUAAUCCCGCAUACCACCAGAUUUGCCCAGGUGGGGUUAGCUAGUAGGUGGGGUAACGGCUCACCUAGGCGACGAUCCCUAGCUGGUCUGAGAGGAUGACCAGCCACACUGGAACUGAGACACGGUCCAGACUCCUACGGGAGGCAGCAGUGGGGAAUAUUGCACAAUGGGCGCAAGCCUGAUGCAGCCAUGCCGCGUGUGUGAAGAAGGCCUUCGGGUUGUAAAGCACUUUCAGCGGGGAGGCGUUACCCGCAGAAGAAGCACCGGCUAACUCCGUGCCAGCAGCCGCGGUAAUUC